CUACGGGUGGCAGCAGUGGGGAAUAUUGCACAAUGGAGGAAACUCUGAUGCAGCGACGCCGCGUGGAGGAUGACACUUUUCGGAGCGUAAACUCCUUUUAUAUAGGAAGAAGAUGACGGUACUAUAUGAAUAAGCGCCGGCUAACUCCGUGCCAGCAGCCGCGGUAAUACGGAGGGCGUCAAGCGUUACUCGGAAUCACUGGGCGUAAAGAGCGUGUAGGCGGAUUAAAAAGUCAGAAGUGAAAUCCUAUAGCUUAACUAUAGAACUGCCUCUGAAACUCUUAAUCUAGAAUAUGGGAGAGGUAGAUGGAAUUUCUGGUGUAGGGGUAAAAUCCGUAGAGAUCAGAAGGAAUACCGAUUGCGAAGGCGAUCUACUAGAACAUUAUUGACGCUGAGACGCGAAAGCGUGGGGAGCAAACAGGAUUAGAUACCCGGGUAGUC
rnacentral:rRNA from 1 species